rnacentral:rRNA from 1 species
AUAAGUUGACAAGAGCAUCGGGUGGAUGCCUUGGCGUCAGAAGGCGAUGAAAGACGUGGUAAGCUGCGAUAAGCCUCGGGGAGGAGCUAAACAUCCUUUGAGCCGGGGAUUUCUGAAUGGGGAAACCCAGCGGGAGUCAUGUCCCGUUAACAUUCACUGAAUUCAUAGGUGACUGUGGCUAACGCAGGGAAGUGAAACAUCUCAGUACCUGCAGGAAGAGAAAUCAAUCGAGAUUCCCCAAGUAGCGGCGAGCGAACGGGGAAGAGCCCAAACCGCGCGGAUUCGUCCGUACGGGGUUGUAGGGCCGGAAUGACCGAUUCACGCGUAACCAGAAGAAGUGAGCAGGAAAGCUCCGCCAGAGAGGGUGACAGUCCCGUAUUCGAAAGUGAGAGUGACGGUUCCGGUACCUGAGUACUGCGAGACACGUGAAAUCUCGUGGGAAUCCGGGAGGACCAUCUCCUAAGGCUAAAUACUAACUGACGACCGAUAGUGUACCAGUACCGUGAGGGAAAGGUGAAAAGAACCCCUGUCAGGGGAGUGAAAGAGAAUCUGAAACCUGGUGCUUACAAGCUGUGGGAGCCGUACUUGUACGGUGACCAUGUGCCUUUUGCAUAAUGAGUCAGCGAGUUAAUCUGUACAGCAAGGUUAAGCGUAAGUGAAGCCGCAGCGAAAGCGAGUCCGAACAGGGCCACAGUUGUGCGGAUUAGACCCGAAACCGGGUGAUCUAUCCAUGAGCAGGUUGAAGCAAGGGUAAAGCCUUGUGGAGGACCGAACCAGUUCUGGCUGAAAACAGUUUGGAUGACUUGUGGAUAGGGGUGAAAGGCCAAUCAAACCCGGUGAUAGCUGGUUCUCCCCGAAAUAUAUUGAGGUAUAGCCUUGCGGAUUGUCUUAUGGAGGUAAAGCUCUGACAGAACUAGGGGUCCUAUCCGACUACCGAAUUCUUUCAAACUCUGAAUACCAUUAAGAUUUACCGCAGGAGUCAGACGGCGGGUGCUAAGGUUCGUCGUCAAAAGGGCAACAGCCCAGACCGACAGCUAAGGCCUCCAAAUGCAUGCUCAGUGGUUAAGGUGGUGGCGUUGUGUAGACACCCAGGACGUUGGCUUAGAAGCAGCCAUCGUUUAAAGAAAGCGUAAUAGCUCACUGGUUCAAUGGCGCUGCGCCGAAAAUGUAACGGGGCUAAGCAUGCUGCCGAAGCUUCGGAUUUGUCUCUGACAACUGGUAGGGGAGCGUUCUCUGCGGGCUGAAGCGGAACCGAAAGGUUUCGUGGACUGCAGAGAAGUGAUUAUGCUGACAUGAGUAACGAUAAAAUAUGUGAAAAACAUAUUCGCCGUAAAUCCAAGGUUUCCUGGGUAAAGGUAAUCUUCCCAGGGUUAGUCGGACCCUAAGGCCAGGCUGAAAGGCGUAGCUGAUGGGAAACGGGUUAAUAAUCCUGUACUUGUGCGAUUGUGCGAAGAAGGGACGCAGGAUGGUAGACAGGCCGGUUUUUGGAAUCCGGUGCAAGUGCGUAGGCGUGCUCCGCAGGCAAAUCCGCGGGGAUGAGCCGAGACACAAGUCCGUGGGCGUAAGCCCUGAAGCUGUUGAGCCACGGCUGCCAAGAAAAGCUUCUAAGUUUAGAUCGCGCGAACCGUACCGCAAACCAACUCAGGUGGAUGGGAUGAAUAAUCCAAGGCGCUCGAGAGAACUCUGGCCAAGGAACUCGGCAAAAUAACCCCGUAACUUCGGGAUAAGGGGUGGUCAUUUCGGUGACCGGCACUAAAGACGUCCAGGCAACUGUUUACCAAAAACACAGGUCUCUGCUAAGUCGUAAGACGAUGUAUAGGGGCUGACACCUGCCCAGUGCUGGAAGGUUAAGAGGAGUGCUUAGAUAGACGCGAGUCGAUGAUUCGAAGGUACGAAUUGAAGCCCCAGUGAACGGCGGCCGUAACUAUAACGGUCCUAAGGUAGCGAAAUUCCUUGUCAGGUAAGUUCUGACCCGCACGAAAGGUGUAAUGAUCUGGAUACUGUCUCAACCAUAGACUCGGUGAAAUCUUAAUACCUGUGAAAAUGCAGGUUACCCGCGACUGGACGGAGAGACCCCGUGGAGCUUUACUGUAGCUUGAUAUUGGGAUUCGGUAAAUUAUGUAGAGCAUAGGUGGGAGACUAUGAGAUUAAGGCGCCAGCCUUAAAGGAGUCAUCAUUGGAAUACCACCCUUAGUUUAUUGAAUUUCUAACCUAGGACCAUGAUCUGGUUCAGGGACAGUGUCUGGUGGGCAGUUUGACUGGGGCGGUCGCCUCCUAAAAUGUAACGGAGGCGUUCAAAGGUUCCCUCAGAAUGGUUGGAAAUCAUUCGCAGAGCGUAAAGGUAUAAAGGGAGCUUGACUGCGAGACCUACAAGUCAAGCAGGUGCGAAAGCAGGACUUAGUGAUCAGGCGAUUCAGAAUGGAAUGGUCGUCGCUUAACGGAUAAAAGUUACCCCGGGGAUAACAGGCUGAUACCACCCAAUAGUUCACAUAGACGGUGGUGUUUGGCACCUCGAUGUCGGCUCGUCACAUCCUGGAGGUGGAGUCGCUUCCAAGGGUUGGGCUGUUCGCCCAUUAAAGUGGCACGCGAGCUGGGUUCAGAACGU